rnacentral:piRNA from 1 species
UCGAUCUGAUUGAUAUUUAAU